rnacentral:rRNA from 1 species
GACGAACGCUGGCGGCGUGCCUAAUACAUGCAAGUCGAACGCUGAAGAGAGGAGCUUGCUCUUCUUGGAUGAGUUGCGAACGGGUGAGUAACGCGUAGGUAACCUGCCUUGUAGCGGGGGAUAACUAUUGGAAACGAUAGCUAAUACCGCAUAACAAUGGAUGACACAUGUCAUUUAUUUGAAAGGGGCAAUUGCUCCACUACAAGAUGGACCUGCGUUGUAUUAGCUAGUAGGUGAGGUAACGGCUCACCUAGGCGACGAUACAUAGCCGACCUGAGAGGGUGAUCGGCCACACUGGGACUGAGACACGGCCCAGACUCCUACGGGAGGCAGCAGUAGGGAAUCUUCGGCAAUGGGGGCAACCCUGACCGAGCAACGCCGCGUGAGUGAAGAAGGUUUUCGGAUCGUAAAGCUCUGUUGUAAGUCAAGAACGAGUGUGAGAGUGGAAAGUUUACACUGUGACGGUAGCUUACCAGAAAGGGACGGCUAACUACGUG